GUGACUGUACAUUAUAUUUGAUCUGUAGGGCUAUACAGCUAAAGUUAUAGAUAUAUAUGUAUAAGUUUCCAAGACUAUUUUGCUUUGCAGCAAGACCAAGCAUCAUUCAGGGCCUGCAUUCCCUCUGUUUCAGAUGAAGCAGAGCGUCCCAGUUCCCUGGAAUAAAACCUCUAUGUAGCCUUGCAGUCGUGCGAGGUCCCACCAGCCAUGGACCUACCUGUGGAAGUUAAGCUCUUGGACAUCUAUGGCUUCCUGUGGAUGGCAUUCAUGGAGAGAGAAAAAAUGAGGACGUUCCAGAGAUACCAUCUUCAGCAAUACUCCCAGGCAUUCCAGAAAAGCGCACAUCAUCUCUGUGUUUCCUUGCAGGUGGAGAAGCUGACGGAGCAGGUCUUUGGUCUCAUGCUCAGAGGCCUUCUUCGGCAGUCUCCCACCUCAAAGCACCCCCUUUUUAUUUUGAAGGCAUAGAAGUCCUGGGAAGAGCCUGAAGGUACACUUGGCCACUGCAAACAUUCAGAGAAUCAAGAGUUAAAGCUCCUGUUAAAUGUCCCAACUGAACAAUAAGUGUGGGAGUGUUUUUGAGGACUGGGAUCAAGUAUUGUGAGAAUAUUGGCUUGUUACAGUUUUUCCUCAUGCAAUUUUUCCUCAUGCAGGGGAUCUCUUCACGAAGAUGCCGACCUACAGUAACUGUAAAGUUCCAAGGCCACAAUUGCAGACAAGAAAGAAGUGCUUACAAUGACCUUGAAUUCUUGGAUAGAAAUGCCAUCCCAAAUUUUCCUCCUUCCAAAGGAAUUGGGAUUUAGGAUGUGUGGGGAAUGUAAGAGGGAGAAGAUGGCUCCAGAAGUCUAGAGAAGAAUUUACCAUAAAUGGCAUACACAUGUGCUUUGGCAAUGAGAUUCUUGAUUCAAAGAAACAAGCAAAGGUGUUCUUUCUUGGUCAAUUCCACAGAACUUUGAGUCACACGGCUGGAGAUGUUACUCCUCAUGUCUCGAACCAGCUUCGCUACUGUGGAAACCAUCAGCCUAGGAUCAAUAUAGGUAGCAAAGCUAAAAUAGUAUGGAUUGUAAGCUUUGGGUGCCCACCCUGUUCCUGAUAUAAUCUCUCUCCUGGGACAAAGGGGCAGGGAGAUGCCACUUGAUUCCACUUGAUGGUGGACUAAGGUAUCCCUGGAGAAACUUGGCAACAGUGUAAUGGACUCCUUUCUAUCUCCUCCAGCUUAUUAAAGUCCAUCAGACAUUUCCUGAAGUUCCUGAGGAGGUCUGGGAUACUGGAAAACAUAUGGUUUCAUUAAUGAAGAUGAACCUAGAAGUAGAGGAGCUAUGAUCUUCCCACCCACCCACCCACCCAAUAUUGAACAAGUUAAGCUGGGGGAAUCUAAAGCAAUAUGGAGAAUAGAGAGCUGGAUCAUCAGUUUCCAUUCAUUCAAGGUGAUUGUUGGUUUUUCACUGGCCAUGACCAAUACGAUGGACAUUUAAGAGAAUGGCUGCGUAGCGGCUUCGGAUAGAAUUUCAGGUGGUGCCUGGAACUCACCUUGGCUGGACCAUCGUCUUUCCAGGACCUGGCAGUUGGCUGAUUGGAUUAUUGAAUACACCAGGCAUACGGAGCAGCUUUUGCAGGGGGAUAAGUUGUUAUGCACCGUCUGGUGUACUUUGGAAAGGCUGACAGAGUGUCUGGAAGCUGUAGGGUGGGGCACACAGCCCCUCCCCUCUGGAACAUCCUCCCUCCUGAGAUUAGAGUCAUCCUGAUCCUGUUGGCCUUUCAGAAGACCUUGAGGACCUGGUUCUGUGUCUUCGGUCCUGAGUUUGUGAAGGCCCCAUUGAUGUUAACAAUUAUGGAUUAAAUUAUCUUCUGGUUGCUCUAUGUA